UCCUGAAUUGAGCAGGGUUUGGAUUCAAUUCCGUCCGUGAAACCAGGCCGUCUGGCCCGCCGGACAGUGCUUGUUGCCCACCGUGGACAACCUCCGCGGUGGUGUGGUCGCUCGCAUUUGCUUGGCGAAAUAGUUGCGUCUUUGUGGUUUCGGAGGAAUGCACUUCCACCCUGUUGGCAGCGUCGCGACACGUUGGUGGACGAUCUCGCGCCCGGGUUUGUGGCAGCCCGUGCGGCAUCUGAUCUGGUGGUCUGAUCCGCGCGGACCCUCGGUGUCCCGAUCGUAUUCCGACGGAAUGGUUGUGAAAAGAGGCGAUCCGCCGAACUGGAAAAUCGCUUUGGUCGUGCGGCGUCCGGCCCGAAGCCGACGCGUGCGGAGAUGGUUUCCGGGUGCCCCGUGUUGGUCACGGCCCCGGCUCCGUCGCGUUGUCGGUUUUUUUCGGUGUCCUCGGACUGGAUCGUUACUCUCGUCUGCGAUGCAUAACGAUCGGAUGG
rnacentral:rRNA from 1 species